rnacentral:rRNA from 1 species
UCGCCUGUUUAUCAAAAACAUGGUCUUUUGUUUAUAUAAAAGAUCUAGCCUGCCCAAUGAUAUAUAAAUGGCUGCAGUAUAUUGACUGUACAAAGGUAGCAUAAUCAUUAGUCUUUUAAUUGAAGUCUGGAAUGAAUGGUUGGAUGAAAAAUUUACUUUCUUUAUUUUAAUUUAUAAAACUUAAUUUUUAUAUUAAAAAGUAUAAAUGAUUAUAUAGGACGAGAAGACCCUAUAGAACUUUAUUUUUGAUUAUAGUUAUUUUAUAGUAUAUAAUUAAUAAUUAAUUUACCAAAAAUUUUGUUGGGGUGACAAAAAAAAUUUAAUAACUUUUUUUAUUUUUUUCAUUAAUUUAUGAUUUAUUGAUCCUUUUUUUAGGAAAAAAGAUUAAGUUACCUUAGGGAUAACAGCGUUAUUAUUUCAGAGAGUUCAUAUCGAUGAGAUAGUUUGCGACCUCGAUGUUGGAUUAAAAUUAGUUUCAGGAGUAGAAGAUUGAUUACUAGGUCUGUUCGACCUUUAAAUUUUUACAUGAUCUGAGUUCAAACCGGAGA